rnacentral:rRNA from 1 species
UUUACGCUGGCNGCAGGCCUAACACAUGCAAGUCGAGCGGUAACAGAUCUAGCUUGCUAGAUGCUGACGAGCGGCGGACGGGUGAGUAACGCGUAGGAAUCUACCGAGUAGUGGGGGAUAGCCCAGAGAAAUUUGGAUUAAUACCGCAUACGCCCUACGGGGGAAAGGAGGGGAUCUUCGGACCUUUCGCUAUUUGAUGAGCCUGCGUAAGAUUAGCUAGUUGGUAGGGUAAAGGCCUACCAAGGCGACGAUCUUUAGCUGUUCUGAGAGGAUGAUCAGCCACACUGGGACUGAGACACGGCCCAGACUCCUACGGGAGGCAGCAGUGGGGAAUAUUGGACAAUGGGGGCAACCCUGAUCCAGCCAUGCCGCGUGUGUGAAGAAGGCCUUCGGGUUGUAAAGCACUUUCAGAUGUGAGGAAAGGUUAGUAGCUAAUAACUGCUANCUGUGACGUUAACAUCAGAAGAAGGACCGGCUAACUCCGUGCCAGCAGCCGCGGGUAAUA